CUCCGUCCCAUUGUUUGCAUUUUAUCUAGCUCUCGAUGUGGACGGCGGAGUAAAAGGCGCCAGUGUUUGGUGUCCUUCCAGAGAGAAACAUCACAAACUGCUGCAUGAGGUUUUAAAACCUGAAGCGAAGCUACAAAGAGCAGGUCGGAGAGAAGUCGAGGAGAGACACUUCAACAUGAACUCUGAGAGGAAACGGUCAGCUGGCCAGCAGAGAGGUGGAGGAGGUGGAGAUUUGAGAAACGCUACGCAGAGGAGGUCCGGUCCACAGAGUGCUAUUGAAUCACAUCUGAAUUCUUGUCAUCAAAGAACAAUUGAGCUCAUAGAACUGAAAAGGGUUUCUGUUAUGUGCGCACUUUAUUAUUUUAGUUGUUAUUUUUCAUACCUGUGUUUAUCUGUAUGUAUGCCAUGUUUCUGUGUAUAUUAAUACACUUCUCAAACUUUAUCCUGAUUUCCUAGUCUCUUUAUUGAUGUUCAAUUCCCUGUGCUCUUAACAAUCUAGUUUUCUUC
rnacentral:lncRNA from 1 species